rnacentral:lncRNA from 1 species
GUUCUUUUUUUAAACAUAGAAUUUUUUUUGCAGCUCAAAUUUAAAAUCUUUCUUGAAAGUCCUUCUUUUUGACAAUGGAGAGGAGUAAAUCAUUCUUCCCGUGACUUUUAGAGUCCUUAAAGGUCAUCUCUCAUUUCCCUUCAUAAAUUUUAUUUUUCAAUCUUUUUAUCGUAUUUGUUGCAAAUGCAGGAGAGGACGUCUAGCACUUAGGAGGGCUGUUAACCAACAAGGGAGCACAGAGGAAGGAAGAAAGCCAAUAAAAUCAUCACCUGCCCAGCAAAGCACCUCACUUAGGCUUAUCCUGGUACGAAAGAUCUUGGAGAAAGAGGUUGAAGUGGCCUUGCUCACCCAUUCGGUUCUACUUUUACCUCAACUAAGCAAGCUAAACAGAUUUCUGCUGCCUGAGCCCGGCGGGGGCGGGGGUGGGGGCAGUCUGACACCGGAUGGCUUUUUAGCUCAAAAAUGGAGUAACUUUGGGCUUCACAAAUGUCCACUCUCUGCUGUCCCUGUGCCAGAGUACAAACUCCAAGAUGGGGGAACAGUGCUUCCCUCGCUGACAGGCAAAGCUGCAGGAACGGUGCAGGGCCCGUACGGACUGGGAAUCGAGAAACGAGACGUGAGCGAGCGGAUGACUGAAUGAAGACACGGUGAACGAACGUUCGUUAGGGUCGCUCUCACACACACUUCCAAAAUCGCCAUUGCACCGUUCCAAAGCAUCCGUAACUCUUGGGAAACAAUGAAUAAUUUCUUGUUCUCAUUUUUAAUUGAAAAUCAUUUGAUUGUCUUACUUACCACACUUCACAGUAACCCGGGAGGGUACUUCUCUUCCAAGACAGUUUAUCUACAGUGCAGUCUAAUACAGAACACAUGUGUAACUGUGUAAUGAGUGAUAUCAGAAAAACUGCUAGUUCGGAAACGAAGCUGGCCUGUUGUCUGAUGUGUUUAGGAGGGGAGGCCUGGUGUGGAAAACCAUAUAU